AACGAGGAAGGUGGGGAUGACGUCAAAUCAUCAUGCCCCUUAUGACCUGGGCUACACACGUGCUACAAUGGUUGGUACAACGAGUUGCGAGUCGGUGACGGCGAGCUAAUCUCUUAAAGCCAAUCUCAGUUCGGAUUGUAGGCUGCAACUCGCCUACAUGAAGUCGGAAUCGCUAGUAAUCGCGGAUCAGCACGCCGCGGUGAAUACGUUCCCGGGCCUU
rnacentral:rRNA from 1 species